rnacentral:tRNA from 1 species
GAAAAGAUAAGUAUAUGCGUAAGCCAACAGAUUCAUGCUCUGAGGAAACCUGAAUGGUUCUUUCUU